GAAGNNNNNAAGCGUUAUCCGGAUUUAUUGGGUUUAAAGGGUGCGUAGGCGGACUAUUAAGUCAGUGGUGAAAGCCUGCAGCUUAACUGCAGAACUGCCAUUGAUACUGAUGGUCUUGAGUACAUUUGAGGUGGGCGGAAUGUGUCAUGUAGUGGUGAAAUACUUAGAUAUGACACAGAACUCCGAUUGCGAAGGCAGCUCACUAAACUGUAACUGACGCUGAGGCACGAAAGCGUGGGGAUCAAACAGGAUUAGAUACCCUGGUAGUCCACGCCCUAAACGAUGAUUACUCGAUGUGUGCGAUACACUGUACGCGUCUGAGCGAAAGCAUUAAGUAAUCCACCUGGGGAGUACGGCCGCAAGGCUG
rnacentral:rRNA from 1 species